rnacentral:rRNA from 1 species
GACGAACGCUGGCGGCGUGCUUAACACAUGCAAGUCGAGCGGUAAGGCCCUUUCGGGGGUACACGAGCGGCGAACGGGUGAGUAACACGUGGGUGACCUGCCCUCAGCUCUGGGAUAAGCCUGGGAAACUGGGUCUAAUACUGGAUAUGACUCCACGGUGCAUGUCGUGGGGUGGAAAGCCUUGUGCGGCUGAGGAUGGGCCCGCGGCCUAUCGGCUUGUUGGUGGGGUGAUGGCCUACCAAGGCGACGACGGGUAGCCGGCCUGAGAGGGCGACCGGCCACACUGGGACUGAGACACGGCCCAGACUCCUACGGGAGGCAGCAGUGGGGAAUCUUGCGCAAUGGGCGAAAGCCUGAACGCAGCGACGCCGCGUGAGGGAUGACGGCCUGGUGU